AUUUGGUAGUGUAUAUAUGUCCAUGCCACUCUCUCACUUUGUCCCAGUUUACCCUUCCCCCUCCCCGUGUCCUGAAGUCCAUUCUCUACUCCUGGCCUCUUUUAUAAAAGUACUAAUCCCAUGUGAGCGUUCUGCUCUCAUGGCCUAAUCACUUCCCCAAAGCCCCAUCUCUAAAUACCCUCACAUGGAGGGUUAGGUUUCAAGAUACGAAUGUGGGGAGGAUAUAAACAUUCAGUUUAUAGCAUGCUGCAAUAUUUUUUUGUUUUCCUGGAGCUUUUCAUUUGAUAUCAAUAGUUUUUCUUAUCACGCUCACAAAUUCGUUCCUAAGCCACCCAGUGAAGCUGUUAAUGUCUUCUCAGUAUGUUCAAACACCUGGGGUAAUUUCUUCCUCCUACUCUUUCUGAGGCAUUUGUGCUAGAGCCUUUGGUCCUCUUCUCCAAGGUAGACUGGUUGCUCUUUUUUUUUUUUUCUUUUUUUGGCCGUGCUGCACGGCUUGUGGGAUCUUAGUUCCCCAACUAGGGAUCAAACCCGGGCCUUCGGCAGUGAAAGCACGGAGUCCUAACCACUGGACCGCCAGGGAAUUCCUUAGACUGGUUGCUCUGUAUGCCUGCUGCACAGCUAUUGUUCCAAGUUCUCCCCCAUCAUUCUGGGAAUUCUGUUCACUUAUUUGUGCAUUGAAUCACUGGUUUUCUGGAUCCAAUGCUCCAGUUUUUGCUCUAUUCUCUUGUUUUGGUGAAGUACAUCAUUCAGAAGUCUCCUGAGACGGGGUGUAUAGUGGGAUGAAUGGUGGCCCCCCAAAGCUUAUGUCUCCAUCCUAAGCCUCAGAAUCUGUGACUAUUUCCUAAUUUGGAAAAAGGGUCUUUGCAGAUGUAAUUAAGUUACAGAUCUCAAGAUGAGAUUAUCCUCGAUUAUCUAGGUUGUUCCUAAAUCCAAUGAGAAGUGUUCUUCUGAAAGACAGAAGAGGAGGAGAUGCAGAAACAGAGAAGAGGGCCUUGUGAAGAUGGAGGAAGAGAUUGGAGUGAUGCAGUCGCAGAGAAUGACUGGGGCUGCCAGAAGCUGGAAGAGACAAGGAAGCAUUCAGCUUUAGAGCCUCCAGAGGGAGUAUAGCCCUGCUGAUACCUCACUUUCACACUUCUGGCUUCCAGAACUGCAAGAGAAUACAUUUGUGUUUUUUAAGCCACCAGGUUUGUGGUAACUUGUUACGGCAGCCUUGGGAAACUUAACACAGGGCACAUAGGCAUAAACAACAUUUUUGAAAACUGUUAAUUAUGCAUGCAUUCUUGAUUUAUUGUUUGGCUGGGUAUGGAAUUCUAGUUGCAAAAUAAUGAUUUUUUAUAUUUAUCUUUCCUGAUACAUUUAUAAGUUAGCAUUCUUCUCUAAUUAAGAGCUUUCUCUGUCCCCUCUUUGUGUAUUUUCUGUUUUACUAUCAGACUAUUCAAUGUGUAUCAUCAGUUCCUAUCAUUAUUCAAUAUGAUGCUCACAUUGCCCCCAAUUUUAACCAGUGAGAACCCCUUCAAGUUGGCUUUUGUGUCUUUUUGAUAUGUUCCCAUAAGUCAUUUAGCUCAAAGCCCAUCAUGUAUUUUCUCUCUGUCCCACCUCUGGAACCAGCCAUUUCUCUAAGAACUGGACCAUUUACUGGGGAAUAGUAUUUGGAAACUAAGAUCUGAGUCUUAUCAUGACAUUCUCCUUUCUUACCUUUCAUAUAUGACUUAUUUUUUUAAUCUCUCUGGAAUCUUUUAGGAAUUUCUCCCUGGCCCCAUCCAGUGUUCUGAAAUUUCAUGUUAAUGUGCCUUGGGUUUGUUUUUCCAUUUCUUGUAGCUUUUUCAAUCUAAAGACUCAGCCUUCAGUUCUAGAAAAUGGUCUUCAGUUAUUUCUUCGUGAUUUUCUCCCCUCCAUUUUGCCUAUUUUUCUUUCUAGAACUCCUAUUAUUUGGAUGUUGGGUUUUCCAGAUAAAUCUUUUUCCUCUUCUGGCCACGUCUUCAAAUAUAAUACAUUAUUAUAUACUGAUUGCAUAUAACAAGGCUCAAGACAGUAACCGGAGAGAAGACUGUUAGUGGAGGUUGGAAAAGCGGUAAGGAAAUUGCUACAGAAGGCUGGAGAAAAGGCAACCCAGGUUAUGUAUUGGCAGAAUGUUUAACAUUACUGUUGCCUAUGGUAACAUGAGUGAUAAGAAAAUGUGCCUAAUGAACUUGUGGAUCUAGUCAAGGAGAUUUCCAGGCAGAAUGCUGAAGAUGCCAGUGGUCUUUUUUAACCACUUAUGAUAAAGUACAACAAGAAAAAAAAUGCACUAAAUAUCUGUUUGGUUUUCAAGCAGAAUUCUAGCCAAUGAAAGGUUUGCAAAGUAAGAAAUGGCCUCAGAAUAAAGAUCAAAUCACAUGUGGCUGCAAAACUUUUUUUUAUUUUUAAAAUUCCAGAAAGAUUUAAUGUGGUACUUUGAAGACCAUCUCAGGGCUUCUAAGACUCUUAAGUGCAUUGUUCCCGCCUGACAAGCUCAAAGUAAAGAGAGAGAUCUAUUAUUAGAAAGAAUAAUCAAUGUGACUUUUGGAGCAUGGAGUUAAGCCUCAUUAAGAUUUACAGAAAUUCCACAAUGUUUUUGAGAAAAUUGCAUUGCAUAUGAAUUUUGGAGCAUGGAAUGAAUCUCAGUAAGAUUUAUAGAAAAUCCACAGAAUUUUAAAGAUAAUUGUGUUAAUGAAAGGACUGCCAGGUUGGACACAGAAACAGUUGAAAAGAAGUCUCUGGGCCUUCAAGUUUCUACUAGCAUGAAGCAGGUUGAGAGAGCUACUCAACUACAAAUAUGGACCAUUCUUAAGGGAAAGGAAAGACAUCUCAGAGAGUGGAAUCAAGAGGCCAGAAGGCAAAGCCAAAAACCGAUCAGAUGAUGGAUUAAAGCAAAGACUGGCAAACUACAGCCCAUAAAGUCAACCCAGCCUAUUUUUGGAUAGCCCACAAGCUAAGAGGCCUGGCAGCUUCAGCUUUUGCUUCUUGAGAGCCAGCUUCCGUUAUUAUCCUGGUGUAGAGAGGAGGACCUGGCAGAUGAGAGUCCAAGGGACGGAGAGAACCAGCCUGCUCUCAGCCAUCCUAGCAACCCUAGCUGAGGCACCAAAUGAGUGAAGUUCCUUUCCAUCCUACAACCCUAGUUGAGCUGCCCCAUCUAACACCAUGGAGAAGAGACAAGCUGUUGCCCCUGAGUCCUGUCCAUAUUGCAAAAUCAUGAGCAAAUAAAUGGUUUUAUUUAUGUUUGAA